rnacentral:rRNA from 1 species
CCUACGGGAGGCAGCAGUGGGGAAUUUUGGACAAUGGGCGAAAGCCUGAUCCAGCAAUGCCGCGUGAGUGAAGAAGGCCUUCGGGUUGUAAAGCUCUUUUGUCAGGGAAGAAACGGUGAGAGCUAAUAUCUCUUGCUAAUGACGGUACCCGAAGAAUAAGCACCGGCUAACUACGUGCCAGCAGCCGCGGUAAUACGUAGGGUGCAAGCGUUAAUCGGAAUUACUGGGCGUAAAGCGUGCGCAGGCGGUUUUGUAAGUCUGAUGUGAAAUCCCCGGGCUCAACCUGGGAAUUGCAUUGGAGACUGCAAGGCUAGAAUCUGGCAGAGGGGGGGUAGAAUUCCACGUGUAGCAGUGAAAUGCGUAGAUAUGUGGAGGAACACCGAUGGCGAAGGCAGCCCCCUGGGUCAAGAUUGACGCUCAUGCACGAAAGCGUGGGGAGCAAACAGGAUUAGAUACCCUGGUAGUCCACGCCCUAAACGAUGUCUACUAGUUGUCGGGUCUUAAUUGACUUGGUAACGCAGCUAACGCGUGAAGUAGACCGCCUGGGGAGUCGGUUGCAGNUUAAACUUAAGGAAUUGACGGNNGAGAGNGCGAGACGACGACGAGGGAGAGG